rnacentral:lncRNA from 1 species
CCCGACUAUCUGGGGUGCAGGUAACAUAAAGCCCUGUUGUUGGCAGAUGUGGACUCUGACUCUACACUGCUCCUGGGUGAUGCGAGAGCACUCCCGGUCCCUCACCCAGCACCUCCUGAGCAGCCUUUCCCGCUCCAGGACCACUCUGCCAGCUCAGUCCCUCUUACGUCAGGACCGCAUCCCUUUAUCCCCUCUCAGACAGAUUUCUGCUUUGGCUUAGUUCAUUCAUUUUGACUUAACAUUCUUGAAGUCUAUGUGCUCUUCCUAUGUGUUUAUCUCUAUGUACCAAUCAUACCACACUGUGAUAUCUAUAUUCUACCUUGAGCUACUUGAGAACAGGGGCUGUGCCUUGUUCAUAACUCCUAGUGCCUGGCUCAUAGUAGUCAUUUGAUAUAUUUUAUUGAGUAAAGGAAUAGAUGCAUAUCUCUGAUUAAAUAAUUUGAAGGGUUAUCUUUGUUUUUACAAAGAGGUCAUAAGAUGAUUUCUCAAGGGUAUUUCGGGUCAGAUUUUUCCUGUAUCCAGGGGCCAUGCAACAAGAGAAGUCCUACUCAUAGCAGUUCCCAGUGAUCCCCUAUGAAGAAUUACCCAGAUGACCCCAUCUUCCAGGCUCUCCACCUCUCAGGUCCCAAGGUGAUCUUCUUUGUCUAAAGCCCGGCAUGGUGCUUGAUAUAAUGUAUGAAAAAGUCUUCCUCAAGGUCUACAAUGGGGACAAAGCAAAAGAUUUGGGUAGUGGUCUGUGUCUUCUCUAAUUUCUCUCAAAACUUUGGAUCAGACAUGGGGCAACAAAUCUACCAAAAAAGGAGUUUCUAGAUGAACCUACAGAACUUCAGAGAGGGAGAAUGGCCUUUGAAGAAAGCUAAAGAAGAGCUUUGGAAAAGCAGGAAAGUGAUGAGAAUCCUGGGGGAUUGGAGUUUGAUUCACUUUGUUCCUGUAUCAUCUGAGGAUGUGGUGAAGAAUUGAUGUUAGGGAAGAAGGAAGUGCUUGGUCCCCAGUUUUCUUUGUCACUUUGAAGGAACCACAGGUCCAGGGUUCAGGAGGUGGAAUGGAGAGAUCAGAACAUUUGCCAGCAUCACUGGUGAAUAUGAUGCAAUAAAAAUGGUUUGGAAAAAUAAGUCCUGUCAGUCUUCUCUCAUCAUGUUUGAGGAUUUAUCCUUGUUCCCUCCUCCAUUUCCUUCUUUGAGGAAAAUUUGUCAAAGAGACCCCAGAUUGAGUUGAUGGGAUUGAGACUCAUUAUAUAAAAAAGGAAGGAGGGAAAUUGGGGCCCCAUUUCUCUCUUCGUUAUUAUGCCUUUUAGGAGUGUUGCUUAUUGAGGAGGUCUUCCAUCUAUGCCUGCAGGAAAUUAUAGGGGUUUGUUCCUUUAUCUUCCUGCUGUGCUAUCUUUCCCAUCUCUCUUCCCCUCCUCCUUCCAAAAAUGGUUUGGUCAGGAGAAAUUGUAAUACUGCUCCACUUGCCUUAGCAUGCAACAGAAUUUCCAAGGCUCUAAGAAAACUCUAACCUAGUCAACUUUUAUAAACAGCAGAAAUGAUGCAUGAAAUACCAUUGGGCGCUGCCAAAUGAUUUGAAUUAGAUAACUCUGAGUUUAAACUUCCCAAGAAGGAGCCCUUCAUUGGCAAAGACAUCUGCUUCUCCCUACACAUUUUGAGAAAGGGUCAGAAUGUGGGAAUGAGAGGUCCUAUAUGAAAGAGGAAGGCAUUCAGCUGCCAGUAAAAGAAAAAUUUGACUAACGGUUUAAAUAAAUAGAGAUUCCUUUCCUCCCAGAAACAGGUGCCAGUUCAGAGGUUUGAUGGUGGCAGGGCUAAGGCUGCAGGGUUCUCUUGGCCCUCCUUUCAUGGUUGUCACAUGGCUACUCAAGCCAUCAUGUCUUCAAGAAAGAAAGAAAGAAGGUAGGAGGAACAGAAAGGUGGUGCUUUUUUAUUUGAGAAAAACAGUAACCUUCUAGAAGUCCCUAGCAGACGCCAUUGGCCAGAAUGAUGUCACAUGGCCAAUCCCACAUUCAAGGGAAGAUGGAAAAAAGAGAUUUUAGCCUUCCAAAUUUUGUAGGACAGCCAGCCAGGAGAACAAGUGUGGGAAUGUGUAUUGGCUCUACCAACCUCUAAUUUUCCAUGGGGGCCCACAGCCUCGUGUGUGAGACAUUCUCUGUCUUCUGUUUGUGGCUCACUGUUCUCCUUGCCAGUUUGUUUUAGUUAGCACAAGUCAGUCGACUCAGUUUUUAGACCCUGUAAAUUUUAUCUACUGGAUUUAACAAACAUUUCUUAAAAUGAGAAAAGCACACAGUUGUCUAGGGGACGGGGAUGUGCAAAGAAGGCUGGGCAAGCACAUGGAGAAAAAGCUUUGGAGGAGGCUGUCCUCCAAAUGGUUCAACACUGAACCAUGUCUGCCUACAAUACCCUACUGUCACUCUCUAAACUGGUGAAAGCCAGACCUGAUGUGAAACACCUAGGGACCUAUCAGAGGGAAAAUUGGGCUCCUAGAAAUCAGCUGAACUCAGAUGACUCAGAGGCAAACUGUUUGCUCCUUCAGUACAUCGUUGGAGAGCCAUUAGCACAUGGUGGAAAAAGGGCUACACCAGAGCCCUGGAGCAUGCUGAGGGCUGUGGGAAGGACCAGAUAAUGUUUCAUGAGAGUGUUGAGAAGCUGGCUUUCCAUCAGAAAGGCUUUUCAGGACUGUGGAGAGGGGGCUGAACGAGCUAGUCAUUUUCUCAAACAGGGAGGCAUGAUGCUUUCUCUGGUGCUCUCUCUGCACCUGUGCAUCCAUAACUCUGCAACUCAGUGCUUUCCUCAGCAUCAGAGGCUCCUGCACCCUGAUGGUCAGAAUCAUCCAUCACCAUAGCAACCUCAAGAAUGGCUCCAAAUGAGAUUUCUUUGAUCUUGAAGGAUGCAGGUGUUCUCCUCUUCUAUUUUCUUUUCUUUUUUUUCCUCUUUCUUUUUCUUCUCUUUUCUUUUUAUUUCCCUCCAUGAGGCAGGGCAGGGCAGUGGUGGAAGGAUGAUGAAAGGGAGCUGAAAUUCGCUGUUGCAGUUGCCCAUUCCAAUAAGACGUGGUACAUACAUGCCUCGAGGCAGAGGGUGAACAGAUGGUGUGUAGCUUGUACCAUCAGCCUUUUGAAGCAGCUGCCCUCACACAGAUUCUCAGACCCUCUCACAAAGGAAGAGGGGAUUUGCAUUAUGGCUACAGGAAAUAAGAGAAAGGGGGUUGCUCUCAUAGGUAGAAUUUUGAUACAUAAACAAGAAAAUAAGAAGAAUGUUCUGUUCUUACUGCUCUCUCUUGUGCUUACUCGUUUUUCAGAAACACUCUUGUUUAUGUGGAAAGACUCAACAAUUCAAUAAAUUCAGCAAACAUUUACAGAGUAUCUUCUCUUGAUUUUCAUUUUAUCAUGUGUAUCUCACCUCUUCCAAUAGGAAUUCCAGGCAGCUUAUAAUCAAGGACAUAAAAGAUGAGACUAAUAAAAUAGAAAAUCAGGACCAAAGAAAAAGCCGAAAGCAAAUAUUCUAACCACGAGGGUUAGCAUAGAGGUAACUGAGGAUUAAAACUUAACUUUGAGGAUCCUCAACAC